rnacentral:lncRNA from 1 species
UUUUUCCACCCUUUCUCUAGCGAUCCUGAUGCAGUUCUUUGCUCUUCCUCUGAAACCUUUGGCUAGCUUAAAUACUUCCUUCUUGUUCAUCUUUCUACCGACUUUUGUUCUUCACUCUUACCUGUAGCUAACAGAGAAGCGGUCACCUUUUCGCCGUAGAGCAGAGUGAGACUUUGGGGCUUUUUGCGGCUGCUGGACUUGCGAUUGCGG